UACGUAGGGUGCGAGCGUUGUCCGGAAUUAUUGGGCGUAAAGAGCUCGUAGGCGGCUUGUCGCGUCGGAUGUGAAAGCCCGGGGCUUAACUCCGGGUCUGCAUUCGAUACGGGCAGGCUAGAGUUCGGUAGGGGAGAUCGGAAUUCCCGGUGUAGCGGUGAAAUGCGCAGAUAUCAGGAGGAACACCGGUGGCGAAGGCGGAUCUCUGGGCCGAUACUGACGCUGAGGAGCGAAAGCGUGGGGAGCGAACAGG
rnacentral:rRNA from 1 species